CAUCAGCCUCCCUGCCUCCUGGCCCGUGUGCUGGUCUCCCAAAGGCCUGAGGAAGGAACCUGCGUGGGAAUCCCCUGAGUUGCCCUGCAACCAGUGAGUCAUCCUUUUCCAGCCCGCCAGGACGGAGGUGUCACCCUGCUGAGCUGGCGGCCGGGUGGCCACUCUUCAGUCAGCAGCCCUUCCUUGCCAAGCUCCCUGUCCCCAGCGCUCCGCCCCCAAAAUGUGUGCAUGACAAUCCUCUGAAAGCGGCAGUCCCUAACGCGAGAGCGUUUUCAUGCUGGGAGAUCGGCAGGUACUUCCAGGCUGGAUCAGCCCCAGCAGUGCCAAGGGCUGUAGGCAGCCGCCUUCCUGGGAAGCAAGACUUUGUCCGGGAAACCUCCUCUGGACGCAGGGUGGGGCCCCGAGCCCAGGGCUUCUGCGUUGUCCCCAAUGCGGGAAGGGGGAGUGGGCUCUGACCCUCCCGGGGGAGUCACCGCAGAAGGCGACUUCCUCAUUUUACCCUGAAGAAAGAGGGGUGCAGUGCUGCAGGUGAAGCUCCCCUCGGCAGCAGGAACCCUGCGGAGGCGUCACAGGACGGCCCCGGCCUCCCAGCGCCGGGAGGAGAUCCGUUUAGGUCCGUUAGAGCUGGCUUAGCUGUGGGGUUAGAGAGAAACCCCAUGGAACUUGCGGGGGGAGGACUGGGAGACGUUUCCGCAGCUGCUUGUGGCAAACUCAGCCUCCAAGUUCAUGGAGCUUGUGU
rnacentral:lncRNA from 1 species